rnacentral:lncRNA from 1 species
GAAAGAUUCAAAAUAACAUUUCUUCUGCUUGAGAAUGGACAAUAGAAUUCCUUGCUUUGGCUUUUUGGGACAUAAGUAUACGCUCAAUCAGUGUUUCCCGUUGUGUUCUAUAAAAUGUUAUCAUUUGAAAAAAGUUCUGUAUUAAGAGACUCAAAAUCAGUGAAGAAAUGUGGAAUAUUGCAGUGGAAACAGCACUAUGCUAAGGAUCAAGACACUGGAGUUUAAUCACUAAUCAUGGUGCAAUCCCAGACAAGUCAUUUUCGGGGUCUCAGUUUCUCAUAUGUAAGAUAAAGAGUGUGUGAUUCAUAUAUAACAAUCUUUCAUUCUGAGCAUGAAAUGGGAAAUCAAAACUAGGUAAGUAUUAAGUUAUGAUGGCUAUUCCUUUCUUACACAUGUAGGUCAUUGCAAAUGGAAUUCAUUGAAGACUAAAAUUGUAUUUACUUUUUCUUUUUUACUUUUACUUAAAAAAUUAUAAACCAAAAUAGAUAUGAUAUUCUGAUUCUUUAGUAAAACUUUGUACAACAAAGCAAAUUUCUACCCUACUUUUCUAGUCCAAGUAAAGAUAUGUGUUAUUUAUUACGAAUUGGGCAAGGAGAUCAGACACUUGUUUUUAGCAUGAGUAUUAAUCUAUAGGCUUUUUCUUUUUCUCAAAAACAGCCUUUAGUCUAAUAGAUUCAGAAUUGACUUGCAUAUCUUUCAACACAUCAAUCUACCAACACAAAGCUUUUUUAGUGCCUUUCUGUUUAAAGACGAAUGUGUACCUACUUGUUAGAAAUCUUGGCACCAUUUCUCUCCUGUAUGUAGAAGAUAUAAUAGCUUGACAUUAAAAGAACUUAGCUUUAACAAAAUAUACCCAUUAAGUGUCACAGCCAAUUCUCCUUGGCAAA